CACAGCUACUGCAGAACACCAAACUCCCGGACUGGAUACAAAAUAGCACUCCAACUCCUGAACUGGAACCUCCCAAAUAGCUGCUAGCAGACGAACAGGAAAAGCAGACAAUCAGCUUACACUCCUGGCAAUCAGUCUCUAACAGCAUACAGUGAAUCCCCCCAAGAACGAGGCAAGGCUCUGUGUUGAGGGUCAAGCAGUGGUCUGAUGUUUAAUGGCACACACUCUGCUUUUAUGAGAUUCUGCCCAUGCAAGGGAGACACCCACAUAAUUAGCAGUAUAACCAAUCGGAACAAUAUACAUUCGGGGAAAUUCCCAUCCCUCAGAUAAUCACAUAACAUAAUUAAAACAGAACAGUUUUUCCCCAUACCCUGUAACUUUAAAACCAU